rnacentral:rRNA from 1 species
GACGAACGCUGGCGGCGUGCUUAACACAUGCAAGUCGAACGGAAAGGCCCUGCUUUUGUGGGGUGCUCGAGUGGCGAACGGGUGAGUAACACGUGAGUAACCUGCCCUUGACUUUGGGAUAACUUCAGGAAACUGGGGCUAAUACCGGAUAGGAGCUCCUGCUGCAUGGUGGGGGUUGGAAAGUUUCGGCGGUUGGGGAUGGACUCGCGGCUUAUCAGCUUGUUGGUGGGGUAGUGGCUUACCAAGGCUUUGACGGGUAGCCGGCCUGAGAGGGUGACCGGCCACAUUGGGACUGAGAUACGGCCCAGAAUCCUACGGGAGGCAGGAGUGGGGAAUAUUGCACAAUGGGCGGAAGCCUGAUGCAGCAACGCCGCGUGCGGGAUGACGGCCUUCGGGUUGUAAACCGCUUUCGCCUGCGACGAAGCGUGAGUGACGGUAAUGGGUAAAGAAGCACCGGCUAACUACGUG